UACGUAGGGGGCUAGCGUUGUUCGGAAUCAUUGGGCGUAAAGCGCGUGUAGGCGGCCCGGUAAGUCCGCUGUGAAAGUCGAGGGCUCAACCCUCGAAUGCCGGUGGAUACUGUCGGGCUUGAGUGCGGGAGAGGCGAGUGGAAUUCCUGGUGUAGCGGUGAAAUGCGCAGAUAUCAGGAGGAACACCGAUUGCGAAGGCAGCUCGCUGGAACGUUACUGACGCUGAGGUGCGAAAGCGUGGGGAGCAAACAGG
rnacentral:rRNA from 1 species